rnacentral:rRNA from 1 species
AUGGCAGCGACUGCCAUGUCCCUUUCCUCCUCGUCCUUUGCCGGCAAGAUGAUGAAGAACAUACCGUCAUCGGCUCUCUUCGGUGAGGCCCGUGUCACCAUGCGUAAGACUGCAGCGAAGGUGAAACAGGUUACCUCUGGUAGCCCAUGGUACGGUGCCGACCGUGUGCUCUACCUCGGCCCACUCUCUCGUGAGCCCCCGAGCUACCUCAUCGGUGAGUUCCCAGGCGAUUAUGGUUGGGACACUGCUGGACUUUCGGCUGACCUCGAGACCUUCUCCAAGAAUCGGGAGCUGGAAGUGAUCCACUGUCGUUGGGCCAUGCUUGGGGCACUUGGUUGCGUCUUCCCUGAGUUGCUCGCCCGCAACGGCGUCAAGUUUGGCGAGGCUGUCGUCCUCAUGGGUGCCGUCGAGGGGUACAGCGUUGCUGGUGGCCCACUCGGUGAGAUCGUCGACCCACUAUACCCAGGAGGCAGCUUCGACCCUCUGGGCCUAGCCGACGACCCUGAGGCAUUCGCCGAGCUCAAGGUGAAGGAGAUCAAGAAUGGUCGCCUUGCCAUGUUCUCAAUGUUCGGCUUCUUUGUCCAAGCUAUCGUCACGGGCAAGGGCCCACUUGAGAACCUCGCUGACCACAUCGCUGACCCAGUCAACAACAACGCAUGGGCGUUUGCCACGAACUUUGUCCCCGGCAAGUAA